rnacentral:rRNA from 1 species
CCCUUAGAUGUUCUGGGCUGCACACGUGCUACACUGGCAGGUUCAGCGAGCUUCGUGCCCUGAUCUGAAAGGAAUGGGAAAUCUUUUCAAAACCUGCCGUGCUUGGGAUAGAUGAUUGCAAUUUUUCAUCUUCAACGAGGAAUGCCUAGUAAACGCAAGUCAUCAGCUUGCAUUGAUUACGUCCCUGCCCUUUGUACACACCGCCCGUCGCUCCUACCGAUUGAAUGAUCCGAUGAAUAUCAUGGAUUGAGGAUGCAAGUAGGUUCGCCUAUCUUCAUCUUCGAGAAGUGAAGUAAAUCUUAUCAUUUAGAGGAAGGAGAAGUCGUAACA